rnacentral:piRNA from 1 species
UGACACCUACCACUGUCAGAGCCAGAGUGA